GGGGAAGUGGCCGAGCGGUUUAAGGCGACGGACUUGAAAUCCGUUGUACUCGAAAGGGUACCCAGGGUUCGAAUCCCUGCUUCUCCG
rfam:Plesiocystis pacifica SIR-1 1103186006324, whole genome shotgun sequence.